UACAGAGGGUGCGAGCGUUAAUCGGAAUUACUGGGCGUAAAGCGUGCGUAGACGGUUACGUAAGUCGGAUGUGAAAGCCCCGGGCUCAACCUGGGAAUUGCAUUCGAGACUGCGUAGCUAGGAUGCGGAAGAGGGAAGCGGAAUUUCCGGUGUAGCGGUGAAAUGCGUAGAUAUCGGAAGGAACACCAGUGGCGAAAGCGGCUUCCUGGUCCAGCAUCGACGUCAGGCACGAAAGCGUGGGGAGCAAACAGG
rnacentral:rRNA from 1 species